rnacentral:rRNA from 1 species
UACGUAGGGGGCAAGCGUUGUCCGGAAUCAUUGGGCGUAAAGCGCGUGUAGGCGGCUCGAAAAGUCUGGUGUGAAAUCCUGCGGCUCAACCGCAGACGGUCGUGGGAAACUGGAAGGCUAGAGUGCGGGAGAGGAGAGUGGAAUUCCCGGUGUAGCGGUGAAAUGCGCAGAUAUCGGGAAGAACACCCGUGGCGAAGGCGGCUCUCUGGAACGCAACUGACGCUGAGACGCGAAAGCGUGGGGAGCAAACAGG